GUGGAGUCGUUGUUGAAAUACCACUCUGAUCGGAUUGGAUGUCUAACCUUGGCCCAUGAUCUGGGUUGGGGACAGUGCCUGGUGGGUAGUUUAACUGGGGCGGUUGCCUCCCAAAAUGUAACGGAGGCGCCCAAAGGUUCCCUCAGCCUGGUUGGCAAUCAGGUGGUGAGUGUAAGUGCACAAGGGAGCUUGACUGUGAGACAGACAUGUCGAACAGGGACGAAAGUCGGGACUAGUGAUCCGGCACCUACUUGUGGAUGUGGUGUCGCUCAACGGAUAAAAGGUACCCCGGGGAUAACAGGCUGAUCUUCCCCAAGAGUCCAUAUCGACGGGAUGGUUUGGCACCUCGAUGUCGGCUCGUCGCAUCCUGGGGCUGGAGUAGGUCCCAAGGG
rnacentral:rRNA from 1 species